rnacentral:rRNA from 1 species
UACGUAGGGUGCGAGCGUUGUCCGGAAUUAUUGGGCGUAAAGGGCUCGUAGGCGGUUUGUCGCGUCGGGAGUGAAAACACCGGGCUUAACCUGGGAACUGCGCUUGUUACUGGCAGACUUGAGUGUGGCAGAGGGGGGUGGAAUUCCACGUGUAGCAGUGAAAUGCGCAGGAUAUCAGGAGGAGCACCGGUGGCGAAGGCGGGUCUCUGGGCCGGAAUGACUGACGCUGGAGGAGCGAAAGCGUGGGGAGCGAACAGG